AUGAAUUUCAUUCGAGGGCUUGACUAGUGAUCCGAACAAUUAGGAAACAAAUCCUCUUGAAUGACAAAAACUUGGACUUGUAAAGCACCUCUCGGGACCGAAAAUAUGGUGGAGAACCUAGGUGCCAGCGCACCUGAUUUCAAAAAAUUCGAAAAACGUCAUUUAGAUGUUUCAAAAAAAAGUUGAAAUAAUUACCUCACGUCCAUCUCAUCUCAAUACUUAUCUGGGAAAAUUUUCAGAAGAAAAUACGGCCGUACGUGGCUCAUACAAAAAGGUGAAAAUGAAGUUUUGUUAUUCUGUGAAUAGUAUACGUAUAAUCAAUAUACUAUGAACAGUACAAUUUGUUAUUUUUGUGUAGGCUACAUGCUUUCAUAUUUUAGGUUGAAAAUUGACACGCACAUACCUACAUAUGUACCCCACACACAUGAUUUAUGCCGAUUUUUUUGAAUCAAUUAUACUAUUUGUUUCGAUUUUAUUGCUAAAAUCGGGUGCGCCAGCACCCAGGAGCCAAAAAUUCGCGUCCCUCUCGGGACCCUCUAUCUACCCUCAUCUCUUGGGCUCAAACAAAUGGAAGCAAAUACCACAUUGGUGCAUAUCAUCAUCACAUUCCAUUUUCUUUUGUCCACUCUUGGCUUGCACAAAGAAGAGGCCGGCCAUGUCCAUGCCCUUGCAUGUGACUCAAAAAUUCUCUCUCUUAUUAGCUUAAUCAUUACCCUCCAUCACAUGACCUCUCCGGCACCCUCACAUCCUCUCAUUCUUGGUCGACAUGCAUGAGCUGGUGGACAUCUCUCCUUGUCCUUUUGGGCAUGUGUGUGUGCCAUGCAUCCUCUCCCUUCCCUUUUCUCUGAUUCUCUCUGUCUCUUGGUAAAGCCUAUCACCACCUCUGCGCCCUACAGCCCUCUAGCACGUCCUGCAGCCCUGGCCUGUCCCCUCUACCACCAUGGCCCCUUCCCUUAUCUCUCUCUUUUUAUUAGGAACCCGCACAAGAGACCACCUUCCUCUCUUUUGACCUCUGACUUGGGCGACCAGCUGGUGGCCAUUGAAACCUCUCCACACCCCCAUCUCUCUCCCUGACACACCCCGUCGAGCCACUCUCUCUAUCGGACUCGCUGACCCCCAAUGGUCACCACGCACGCCGCCCCGCAGCAAGUCCACGUUGGCAACACCACGGCCAUCCUCGGUGACCUUGCGCGCCUGUAGGUGCACGAGGAGUGUGCCACCCCCUCGUUGGUGCACGCACCGCUGAAACCCUGCACCCUCCUGCUCGCGCGUGACCCCGUCUUGCCGCUGGCGUUUCAUCGAGCACGUCACAGACCGACGUGACCCGCCCUCUCCUGGCCGUUCCAAGCGCUGUGGACAGCAGCUCCGCUCCAAAACCAUCCCCGCAAGCCGCCGACCUACCUCCACCGCCUCCCGUGCCCAAUCAACGUCUGCUCCGCUCUCCUCUCGCUGCGCAUGCACCCGGUGCACCGUGGUCACCGCGAGUUUGUUUUUAAGGCCUCAGACCACCCCACCCCUUUCCCUCUCGCCACCAUACUCACCAAGCACUCCAACAUCCUCUCUCUGCAGGAGAGAGCCCGUCUCCAUCCCUGCUGCUCGAGCUUUUGCUCGGCCCCGUCGCCGUUUGGGGAUGCCAAGGACGCCGUCGGCUCGCCGUUGCUGUCUUGGUUGCGCUCGACCGCGGCAUCGUUCGGGACGCUGCAUGCAGGAGCUGGAGGCGGCCACCAGCUCUUCCCCCUUCUAUUCUUCCUCCAUAGCAGCUCUGACACCUCCACAUCGACCUGACCCAUCUUCAUUCUGGCCCAGGUUCUUGCCAAGGGAACACCGUAGCCAUGGUGCUGUUUGUACCGACGCAGCCACGUCUCCGUCCGCGCACGCGUCCGUCGGCCAGCCGUUGUUCGUGUCGUCGUCCGGGCGGUCUCCGGAGUCUGCGUCGAUCUUCGACGUCGCCUGGCAUCAGCUGCGCCGCCCCACGUAGUCACCAUCGUCGAAGCUCCGGCACAGCUGCAGCUGUCCCCGAUGCGGAGCACACCGCCGUCCGUGUCGACCCCUUGGAGUCGCUCAAGCCGACCGAAGCGCCCAGGCAGGCCUCCGCUCGACCGCGAGGUCUUCCUCCCGUCGCCCCGCAUCACGCCGAAGCCCCACGAAUGCGAACGCUAUCAGAGAAGGAGAGGAUCUUGGUGAGGAUUUCGAAGAGGAAAGAAGAGCUGAUGGUUUGUGAAGAUGAAGUCCAGGGACAAAUAGCCAACCAAGGCAAGCCACCUCUUGAUGCAUCUCUGAUCCUAUAUAUAUUCUUGCUCUUGCAUUAUGACAGGUUUUAUAAAGUUCAUGUCUUUUAUUUAUUAUGUCGGUGGUAAGUGCCACCCGGACUUUUAUUAAUCCACCCUUAGGGUGCAGCCCUCGUUGGUACCUACUGAUCACACCUCUAUUAGUGAUACGGUGCUUACCACCUUAUCACCCUUGUCGCCUCUUUUCAAAAGAGAAAUGGGACUAUAGGUCGGGAGCCCUUUUGAAAAAGAUUUGUGAAAAAGUUUUCAAGAAAGGAAAUUCUUCGAAAACCUUGGAAUGGGGUAGCCCUGUCCAAGUGUGGUUUUACGAAAGACAAAAAGGUUUAUGAAAGAUAUGGCUGGAGGCAAAGGGAAAUGAAAAGUUGUUUUCGAAAAACCUUGGUGACCAUAGUACGAAACCGGACCUAGCCGGUACAACCACAUUACCCUUUAGUGGGACGGGGCGUAGCGUAGUAGUUUGUCUCGCCUUAGUUUGGGUCCUGCAAGUGUAGUGGCAGUCCGACCAUGGACGCUUCGACCGGGGUUCUUCCCAUGAGAAGGGACGCAACCCAUUUGCCUGUUUAGGUACGCGGGGUACAACUUAUGAGCUCCCAUUGAAAGAUGCCUAAGUGGUUGGAUGGCAUUCCAGAGGGUCGGGUGUCGGGGACUUUGCAACUCCUGGGUAAACGGCAUCCCGGACUCUGGUGUUGGGAGGUACAACUCAUUCGGCAUGUCUUAGGCUAAGGCGAGCAAGCGAAAAACUACGAUCGGUUAUCCGAGCCUCGCGUUUUGACGCUUGGCGAACCAGGGAUGAUCCCGGCGGAUUUAUCGGAUCUUGUGGGGAAAGUGUACAACCUCUGCAGAGUGUAAAUCUAUUCGAAUAGCCAUGUCCGCGGGUAUGGACAUGGGAAUGGCGGUACGUGGCAUUAAAGGAAGGUUUUGGUUUAUAAAAGUGUUUUCUCAAAAAUGUUUUGGGAAAGGAGUACCAGUGGGACUGGUGGAAAUGUACCUGGGAGGUACGGUGGAAAGUUGGAAAAGUUGUUUUGGCCAUAUGAGAUGGUCGGAAAGGAAAAGGGGUCAUCCUUACCUAUUAGUCUGCAAAUACAAAUUUGUUUAAAAAAAAAAUUCAACAAAGAUAUAGAGAUGUCAUAUUCUCGAGAGGAACUACCUCUCGCUCCUUGUCGCCCUAGUUAGUGCCUAUUCCUUGCUACUGCCAAAUAUGCAUAUCCUUUACUUCUCUCUAAGGUGGUUUGCGAGUACAAUUCAUAAUGUACUCAUGGCUUUGUCCCUGGCUAUUUACUU